rnacentral:rRNA from 1 species
UACGUAGGGACCGAGCGUUAUCCGGAAUCACUGGGCGUAAAGCGCACGUAGGCGGAUUGUUAAGUCAGGGGUGAAAUCCUGGAGCUCAACUCCAGAACUGCCUUUGAUACUGGCGAUCUUGAGUCCGGGAGAGGUGAGUGGAACUGCGAGUGUAGAGGUGAAAUUCGUAGAUAUUCGCAAGAACACCAGUGGCGAAGGCGGCUCACUGGCCCGGUACUGACGCUGAGGUGCGAAAGCGUGGGGAGCAAACAGG